GCAGUACAUGUGUAUAACAAUUUUACCAGAAAUCUUGUUCCGAAGUGUAGCACCUUUUCUGAAAAGGAAUUUUUUAGGGUGAUACUUUGAGGUCAUCAUUUUUUGAUUUUCCCAGAGUUUUUCUUAAUAAAUGGGAAAAAUCGAAAAAAACGAAGGAAAAACGGGAAAAUUUAUGAAGUCAAUGUUUUUUUUAUUUUAAUUCAGUGAAAAAUAUCCGUAGAGACUUGAAAUUUCGAUAAAACUUUAUAUUUACCUUUUCUAAACGUGAUACAAUUUUCAAAACAUUCAAGCCAUUUUUACGCUAUUGCACACUUUAAUUUUGCUAGUUUUUUACAUUAUUGUUAUUCGGUGGGUACUUUGAGUAUAAAAUUGUUUUAUCAAACAGAAAUGCUUGAAAGUUUAAUAGGAAAUUCAUUAUAAGUUGUACUUACCUAGUGAUUAACAAGGAAAAGUCGAGUUUAAUGUAAUAAUUUAUU